rnacentral:rRNA from 1 species
GUGCCCAGCUCAGCGUGUCGUGGAUCAUAGGUAGCAAAUGCCGAUCCUGAUGACCCCAGAGAUUAGGGUAAACGAGGGAAUCGAAAGCAGAGAGUCACAGUCACAGCCGGGUCGUCUCACGAAAGCGGCAACCACAAGAAAGGCUAGAGUUACGUAAAGUGGCGAGGUGGCCUUUAAGGGAGACGGGGAUGGCAUGAGGUCGAACCAUCAAAGGUGGCGGACAGGUCCCAACUCGGGACCCUAAACUGCCGCCUGAACUUUUCGGUGGAUGUCUGCGAAAUGCGGGUUAGUAAGGCCUAUUGCGAACGUAGGAGACAGAAUGGCGCCGACGACCGUGUCUCAAUCGGCUACGAAUAAGGAAUCUAUGGCAGUAACAAAGAAGAGGCUCUUUUCUUCAACUGCUGGGCAUCCGGAAGGUGGAGGUGCGCCGUAACGNNNNNNNNNNCGUUAUGCAUCUCAUUGAGGGUUAUAUCCUCAUUUUUGUUCUGCAUUAUUUUUUCCUAGCUGCGCCUUUCAAGGCUAACUUUAUCCUAGAUUUGUUCCUUCUCGUGAACGGUAAGCAACCAAUAAUCUUCGUAGGGUUUUCGCAGGCCCAGCUUUAUACCGAA